rnacentral:rRNA from 1 species
UACGUAGGGGGCAAGCGUUGUCCGGAUUUAUUGGGCGUAAAGAGCGUGUAGGCGGCUUUACAGGUCCGUUGUGAAAACUCGAGGCUCAACCUCGAGACGCCGGUGGAAACCGUAAGGCUAGAGUCCGGAAGAGGAGAGUGGAAUUCCUGGUGUAGCGGUGAAAUGCGCAGAUAUCGGGAAGAACACCCGUGGCGAAGGCGGCUCUCUGGGACGGUACUGACGCUGAGACGCGAAAGCGUGGGGAGCGAACAGG